rnacentral:rRNA from 1 species
UACAGAGGUCUCGAGCGUUGUUCGGAUUCAUUGGGCGUAAAGGGUGCGUAGGUGGCGCUGUAAGUCAGGUGUGAAAUUUCGGAGCUUAACUCCGAAACUGCAUUUGAUACUGCGGUGCUUGGGGACUGGAGAGGAGACUGGAAUUUACGGUGUAGCAGUGAAAUGCGUAGAGAUCGUAAGGAAGACCAGUGGCGAAGGCGGGUCUCUGGACAUUUCCUGACGCUGAGGCACGAAAGCCAGGGGAGCAAACGGG